CAGGGCUGCUCAACAGAUGUUUUCGAAAAUAAAGUGGCAUUAUUGUUCUAUCUUCGAAGACAUCAGGCAACGACCGAGUCCGAGCCGUUGGACGGACCAGGUGAAGAAAGUACUUGAUUGUCCACCAUAAAGUGCUUAUCAAUUUAUUAUCAUGUAGCGGAAGAGAUAGAGAAACAUGGUCAAACUCCUUAGGUUAUAUCCAUUAGAAGCCAAGAUUCUCAGAAAUAAGAAAGCGACUCGGGAAGAGAACUCAAGAGAUGCAAACUAUGAUGGGGGCAUUUUCAGAUGUAAUAGGACCCUUCCUGAGCUGGACAGAUUGAAUGCCGCAGAUUACACAAGUCGCUACUACCAACGUGGUGUUGAUGUCUCCAAUAACCCAAGAGAAAUACGAUUAAAAGAUUUUGUAACAUCUAUUUAGGUUGAUAAUUGGCUUAUGACUGAACCAUUUCUCUUUUUCUCCCUGUUCACAUUAAACUGUCACUGAA